GGAGAUGUAGCUCAGAUGGUAGAGUGCUCGCUUAGCAUGCGAGAGGUCAGAGGAUCAAUACCCCACUUUUCCA
rnacentral:tRNA from 1 species